rnacentral:tRNA from 1 species
CCGGGAUAGCUCAGUCGG